UGUGUGCACAUGACAAUUAAAGAGGAUUCCAAUUGUUUACAGCUGUUAUCUAAGCUCUCCAUUCAAGCUGAGAUCAUGAAAAGCUGGUACCAUGGAUCUGUCUCUUGCCUAAUGGUGUAAGCUGGGCCCUCUGUGGAGAAGAAACCUGGAUUCCCCAUGAUCAAUGCCAGGGCCCUGCCGGCAGGUGAGGGGAUCCAAAGGCAGGUGCUGGGCAUGGAGGCCAGAGGGACAUAGGUUAACAAGGAGACAGAACUGAACCUCACAUCACCCUACUUGGCCCAGAGGAUGGCUGGUAGUCAAUGACG